CAAUAGCGUAUAUUAAAGUUGUUGCGGUUAAAAAGCUCGUAGUUGGAGUUCUGCCAGGUGCCGCCUGUCCGCCCCAGUGGUGAGUACGUGGCGCGCAUUUGGCCCUUUCAAGGGGAGCGUAUCUGCACUUUAUUGUGUGGUGCGGGAUCCUUGACUUUUACUUUGAGGAAAUAGGAGUGUUCCAAGCAGGCUCUCGUCGUGCACAGCUCAGCAUGGAAUAAUAGCAUUGGACCUCGAUUCUAAGCUGUUGGUUGCCAGAAGCGAGGUAAUGAUGAAGAGGGAUAGUUGGGGGCAUUCGUAUUUAACUGUCAGAGGUGAAAUUCUUGGGUUUGUUAAAGACGGACUACUGCGAAAGCAUCUGCCAUGGAUGUUUUCAUUGA
rnacentral:rRNA from 1 species